ensembl:lncRNA
AUGGAUCACGGUAUUGUUAACCUCAAAGCAAAACACGAGCAUGCAAUAUUCAUUUGCAGAAGCAGGAAAACGAGUGGGGAGAUGCAAUUCGGGCUGUGGACAGGAGAGGGGGCCCUGCGUAGAGCAGGAGGGAAAAGCUAUCGGCUAUGGAGACGGAGAGCAGCCAGAGGUCGGCAAAGCCCAGGGACAGCCUCAGCCCUGGUGGAUCAAGCCCCAUCAUCAGGCUUCAUCAACAUGGAGUUAUACCAGCACGAGUGGAAUGUGAGAGAGGAGGAGCUGAUUGGAAGAAUGAAGAAUGGAAGGAUUUUUUUUUUUUUUUAA